ACUCCUACGGGAGGCAGCAGUGGGGAAUAUUGCACAAUGGGGGAAACCCUGAUGCAGCCAUGCCGCGUGUGUGAAGAAGGCCUUCGGGUUGUAAAGCACUUUCAGCAGUGAGGAAGGUGGGUGUGUUAAUAGCAUACUCAUUUGACGUUAGCUGCAGAAGAAGCACCGGCCAACUACGUGCCAGCAGCCGCGGUAAUACGUAGGGUGCGAGCGUUGUCCGGAAUUACUGGGCGUAAAGAGCUCGUAGGCGGUUUGUCGCGUCGUCUGUGAAAUUCUGCAGCUUAACUGCAGGCGUGCAGGCGAUACGGGCAGACUUGAGUACUACAGGGGAGACUGGAAUUCCUGGUGUAGCGGUGAAAUGCGCAGAUAUCAGGAGGAACACCGGUGGCGAAGGCGGGUCUCUGGGUAGUAACUGACGCUGAGGAGCGAAAGCGUGGGUAGCGAACAGGAUUAGAUACCCUGGUAGGAUAGCGU
rnacentral:rRNA from 1 species